rnacentral:tRNA from 1 species
ACCUGGCUGGCUCAGUGAGUAGAGCAUGGGACGCUUGAUCUCAGGGUUGUGAGUUCAAGUCCCUUGUUGGGUG